rnacentral:misc_RNA from 1 species
GAUGAAGAACGCAGCGAAAUGCGAUAAGUAAUGUGAAUUGCAGAAUUCCGUGAAUCAUCGAAUCUUUGAACGCACAUUGCGCCCCCUGGCAUUCCGGGGGGCAUGCCUGUCCGAGCGUCAUUUCUGCCCUCAAGCACGGCUUGUGUGUUGGGUGUGGUCCCCCCGGGGACCUGCCCGAAAGGCAGCGGCGACGUCCGUCUGGUCCUCGAGCGUAUGGGGCUCUGUCACUCGCUCGGGAAGGACCUGCGGGGGUUGGUCAACACUAUAUUUUACCACGGUUGACCUCGGAUCAGGUAGGAGUUACCCGCUGAACUUAAGCAUAUCAAUAAGCGGAGGA